AGUGAACGCUGGCGGUAGGCCUAACACAUGCAAGUCGAACGGCAGCACAGUAAGAGCUUGCUCUUACGGGUGGCGAGUGGCGGACGGGUGAGGAAUACAUCGGAAUCUACUUUUUCGUGGGGGAUAACGUAGGGAAACUUACGCUAAUACCGCAUACGACCUACGGGUGAAAGCAGGGGAUCUUCGGACCUUGCGCGAUUGAAUGAGCCGAUGUCGGAUUAGCUAGUUGGCGGGGUAAAGGCCCACCAAGGCGACGAUCCGUAGCUGGUCUGAGAGGAUGAGCAGCCACACUGGAACUGAGACACGGUCCAGACUCCUACGGGAAGCAGCAGUGGGGAAUAUUGGACAAGGGGCGCAAGCCUGAUCCAGCCGUACCGCGUGGGUGAAGAAGGCCUUCGGGUUGUAAAGCCCUUUUGUUGGGAAAGAAAAGCAGCAGGUUAAUACCCCGCUGUUCUGACGGUACCCAAAGAAUAAGCACCGGCUAACUUCGUG
rnacentral:rRNA from 1 species